rnacentral:rRNA from 1 species
GAGAUCAUGAGGAACACCAAAGGCGAAGGCACCUUUCUGGGUCAUUCCUGACACUGAGACACGAAAGCUAGAGGAGAGAAGCAGAUUAGAGACCUGCGUAUUUCUAGCCCUAAACGCAUGCCUGCUAGUUACCCCGAGUUUUCGGGGCGACGUAAGCUAACGCGUUAAGCAGGCCGCCUGGGGAGUACGAUCGCAAGAUUAAAACUCAAAGGAAUUGACGGGGACCCGCACAAUCGGUGGAGCGUGUGGUUCAAUUCGAGACAAAGCGAAAAACCUUACCAAGUUUUGACAUGCUACCGUUUUAACCCGCUGGAAACAGUGGGCUAUCCGCAAGGAUGGUAGCACAGCUGCUGCAUGGCUGUCGUCAGCUCGUGCCGUGGGGUGUUCCAUUAAGUUGGAGAACGAGCGCAACCCGUAUCCGAUGUUACAAGUGUCAUCGGAGACUGCCCUGGUCUUUUCCAGGGAGGAAGGAACGGACGACGUCAAGUCAGCACGGCGCUUAUAACUUGGGUUACACACACCCUACAAUGGCGAAUAACAAUGGGAUGCAAGCCGGCAACGGCAAGCAAAUCCCCAGUAAAUUUCGCCUCAGUUCAGAUUGAGGUCUGCAACCCGACCUCAUGAAGUCGGAAUCGAUAGUAAUCG